rnacentral:tRNA from 1 species
CGGGAUGUAGCGUAGUCCGGUUAUCGCGCCACCUUCGGGAGGUGGAGGUCGCUCGUUCGAAUCGAGUCAUCCCGA